UUGGACUGGCGCACUGACGUCAUGACGCUGCGCCCCACCCCACUGUAAUUCGGCUGAGGAAAGAUUUGCGUUUUUAAGUAUUUAUAGUGUUUUAUCGUUUCGAGACAUUUUCUCUCACACUCUUCUGAACUCAGUGCAACUUCAGUGCAAAUACUUGGCAAAACGAUUCAGUUUCGUUUGGGUUCAGAGCGACGUCGCGCGCUUAAACAACUCACAACUAACUAUAACGCGAACGUUUACAACAAACUACAAAAUGUUCAGAGGUUUAGUUUGCAUUUUCUCAUGUCAGUUCUUAUCUUAAACAGGACCCGGCGAAACGUGUCACUCUUAAAAAGAUGGUGUUCAUUAAAGAGGAGAGUGAAGACGUGAAGAUUGAAGAAACAUGAAGAAACUGAGGAACAAACAGACGUGACGUCAUAAGAAAGCGCCGCGGACCGGCAAAACAAAGAUCUAAUGGCACCAAAGGAGGAGAAAGUAGUAGUUAAUGAAAACGAAGAGGAAGAUCAAUAUGAGAAUCUUCAUGAUUACCAAACUGGAGAAAAACCAUCGUCUCCGACUGAAAAGACGUCCACACGAGAAAGUCCACACGCUUUCAGUUUGAAAGAGUUUCAAUCAACAAAACUCUAGAGACCACAUGCAAAUUCACUCUGGAAAGAAGACCUUCACCUGCGAACAGUGUGGGAAAAGCUUCAGUCAAAAAGCAUGCUUUAACAAGCACAUGAGAGUUCACACCGGAGAGAAACUUUACAAAUGCGGAAAGAGUUACGCUCAACAAGGACACCUUGAUAUUCACACGAGAACUCACACCGGAGAGAAGCCUUUCGUAUGCCAGUGCUGUAGAAAGAGCUUUUCUCAUCAGGGAAACCUAAGCAGUCACAUGAGAACUCACACGGGAGGGAAUUCUUACAUGUGUCUUCAGUGUGGAAGAAGUUUCGGUCAACGUGGAUAAUCAUCUAUUACUAUUACUAUCAUCUAUCAUCUAUAUGCAAGGUGAUAUGCAAGGUGUUCCCAGUUCUGGUUGAGCUAAUUAAUGCAACCUAAUAAUUUGGGCUGCACGAUAGUGUGAUGUGCACAUCUAUGUUUGAAAUUUGUUUAUUUUUGUAAAGCUUUUCAGUACUUUUUGUUUGUUUUGUCAUAUAACAGAAAUAUAUAUUUUUCUAAUAUUGUGCAGCCCUAGGGGCAAAUUUCCUUUAAUAGAUUUUAAUAACAGAGUAUUUAAGUUUAAGACAGGAUAAAGAGAUGAGUCUUUAAUUUAGAUUUAAACAGAAAGAGUGUGUCUGUCUCCUGAAAAAUGUUAGGUAGAUUGAUCCAGGGGGAGCUGAACAGGAAAAAGAUCUGCCACCCCCAGAUGAUUUUGAUGUUCUAGGUAUUAUCAAAUGACCAGAGAUUUUAAGAACAAGGAAUGCAAUAUGUGCUCACUCGAAUACAGAGGUCCUAAACCAUUCAGGGCUUUAUACGUAAUUAGCAAGAUUUUAAAAUGUAUACAAUGUUUAAUAGGAAGCCAGUGCAGUGUUGACAGAACCGGGCUAAUAUGAUCAUACUUCCCAAUUCUAGUAAGAACUCUAACUGCUGCAUUUUAUAACUUAUUUAGCACCAAAUAAUGAUUAAAAUAAUCUAUUACUAUUUAGAUUAUUACAAUAAUCUAAACUUGAGGUCAUGAGCAAAUGAAUGAUCUUUUCUGCAUUAAGCAUAGGUUAUAAUUUACAUCUAUAUAUAUAUAUAUAUAUAUAUAUAUAUAUAUAUAUAUAGAUGGAAUACUAAGGUUUUGCAAAUGCUUGAAACAUAGUUUUGAAGGAAAUAUCAAAUUGCAUGCCUAGGUUCCAAAAUAACUGACAAGAGCAGUGUUAUACAUUGUACAAGUGUUUUACUACAAGUAAGAAAUUAAUAGUCAUCUAGUUUUUAAUGUCUGAUUCCAUUAGUUUUGCAGAUCGGUACGUUUCAUUGGGCACCAAAGAAAUAUGGAGCAGAGUAUCAUCAGCUUAGCAAUGAACGCAGAAACAUAGUUUCGAAAGGACUACCAUGGCCUAUGAACCUCAGAUGUUCCACACCAGACUGUGAAGUCACUGUGGUAAAGAAACAAGACAUUUCAAAUGACAGUACAGCUUUUUGUUUUCAUUAGUGGUGCUUGCCUAAAGCGAAUAUCACUAUUUUGCUAUUUUCAAAAGUGAGGUGCACAUUUUCGAAAAUCUUAGUAUAGAACUGAUCGCACUUCUAACACCACUAGUAAUUUUUUCUAAACCUGAUCUCACGAUUAUAUUGUAAAUGUAAAUAUUUUCAUUCUACAUAAUCACUGUUUCAGAACACAAGAACAUUGUUAUUUGUAUCGAGAACAUUUUGGUGUUUUGGCUUAAUCGCCAAAACACAACAAUAAGAACUUCUUCCAACUUAGUACUUUUAACAGUUAAUUCAGUAGCAAAUAAUACAAGGUACAUGUUUCAAAUCAACCUUAGUGCUAAAUGGGUGUUACUGUACUGUUAAACCGUACAUUACACAGUCAGACAAACUUACAAAAGUGAUAAAAAACACAUUAAAAGUAAGUUAGGGCCAGAGUGCAAGGCAGAACAGAAGAACCAGAUACUGGCAGGCUUCGCACCUGAAAGCAAACCUGUGUUUAGGAAAGAUGGAGACAUGGAAAUAAGCAAAUUUUAAACCUGUUGUGACAAGCCAGCCCUUAGGCUUGCUCUGAGACGUGACCUGUUUGAUGGUGAGCAUCUUGAACUUGAACUCAAAUUACUGAGCUGUUCAGCUGAUGCUGAUCUGAAACAGGCCGCAAGUCCAUAUUCUUCUUGGAAAUAAUGAAGUACUGUAGAACCCUGCUUCUCUUUCGAGAGGAGGGACCACCUCGAUGGCCUCCUUCAGCAUUUAUUACUUGUUCCAAAACCCGAGCUUGCUCGUGACCCUCCACAGUGUAAAUGAUCCUGUUAAAACGUGGUUGAGGAGAACCAAACUGAUUUCUGUAACCCCUUUCUACAUUCUUUUUGGCGGACACUGGGAUGUGUACUUACUAGCUAUCACUGUGCCCUGAAGCACCUGUUGAAUUAAAGAGGCUGGCCAAAUGCAAUCUUGCCCAUGAUCU